CCAACCCUUGGGCACUCAGGAUGCCAGAGCUUACUGAACAUCUCUUAGUGUCAGUGCUUAAAAGCUAUUCCUUGCUUGAGGCUGCACUUAUCUAUGCAUUUUUGCUAGCAUUUUCUGAUGGUAAAACUUAGGGGUGGUUAUCAAGGCAAAAGCGUGUGCUCCUGGUCCUGCUGUGGGUGCGGGAUGCCCUCCUGUGCCCGCAAGCAGCACUGCAGUCGCUGCACAGAGCCUCGGAGAGCAGUGCUCGUGCUGUCAUCAGGGAGCAAUGCUUAGAGGGCAGAGCCCCAUGGGCUGGGGGGCACAGACACAAAAUAGGCUGUCUGUGUGCUAAAAAGGUAAUACCGAAUGCCGAGUAUGGAGUACCGAGUGCCAGUUUCGUGCCAUUGGGUUGUAGGCUAAACUAUUCCACUUUAUUAACUUUUGGUUAUUCAUCAGUCCAAGGUGACUUUUCUAGUAGUGAAACCCUUAAUCGUGUAAUAUUAAUAGGGGAGUUUUUGUCUCCAGGGUCUGACAGCAUCAUUAAACCUUACAGAUCCUCCACAGCUCCUGGAGAAGCACCAUCAUUCGCCUUUUUGCAUCCAGGUUGCUGUCUCCCCUUUUUAUCUCCCCAAAGAAAUUGCAAUCCUAACUCGCAAAUGUACCUAAUUUCAAAUCCCUUGGUGUGGGGAUACUCACCCUGAAGUGGUCAGUUGCCCAUUUUUAGACUGAACCUUUUCAGAUCACAGCCCCUGGGAGCUGACAAAUCUGAAUAAUCCGAAUUUGGCUGCACAGAUAUAGAGAUACCUCUGAAAGAGUGGGAAAUGUUGUUCCCCAAAACAGUUUUCCCAGAAUCCCACGGUGUGUUACUACUGGUUUCCUUUUCAACCUCCAUGCCCUAAAACUGCUUCCCAAAUGGUGCUUGGCUCCCAGUCUCUGUGCUCUCAGACCCUGCUUUGCUGGACUUCACUUAGCAAUGUCAUGUCUGUGUGUGUUCCCCAGAACUGGUUUUGUCUCACGAACUGGAGAAAACACAAUUAAAGGAAGACUUUGAGAAGCUGCGGCUGUCACUCCAGGAUGAGAUAGACACCCUCACCUUCCAGAACAAGUGCCUGAAGGCCAGAGCAGACCGAUUUGAGGAGGCUUUGAAGAAAAACAAUGAGGAACAGCUGAAGAUUGUACAAGCUCUGUAUCUGCACUUAGAGAAAGAUCUGAUGAGCUUAAGACAUGUUCUGGACUUGAAGAACCAUCAGAUUCAUGAACAGGACAGGAAGAUUAUGGAGCCAGAAAAACAAGUGAUUCAAGCGGCGCCGCAGCCGUUCGCCGAUUCCUGUGAAGCGGCUCGGGUCGAGCUGCCGCCGGCCCCGGCCCUGCUGCCAGCGCCAGUCCCAGCUUUGCCGCCGGCCCCAGCCCCGUUCCCAGCCCUAGAAAGAGCCGCUCCGUUCCGCAGUGCCGCGAUAAAAAUGGCGCCGGCCACGCCGACCGUUUCUGCCUCCGGCGCCACCGACCAGAUGUCAAUCACUGCUGAGGAAUGCGAAGGGGGCGUGUCGGAACACCCACCGUCGUCCUUACGAAUCGUCGCGCAGCAGACUCCCGAAACUCCUCCUCCGUAUCCGCCUCCCUAUCCGCGUCAAUCCUUCAUUACGUAAUGUUUCAGGGGCGGAAACCGGAGAAGGCUGUAUCCACCCAUCAAGGGGCGGACCAUCUGCGCCGGCACCACCCGGCCCCUUUGAGGGGGAGGCGCAACCCGGUCCGCCUAGGGGAGGGGUUACAUCGGAAAAGGCGGUGAUGCAAGGGGUUGGCACCGAUGGGCGCGUUCUGGGCGGAUUCGAUGGGCGUGCUCAGAACGCUGAUUGGUUAGAGAUAGUGCAGGGCUUGACUGCACAACCCCCGUCUCCGCCCAUGGGGAGGGCCGGGGGGAGUGAGCCAGCGGCUGGCUGCAGGCGCUCCACACCGCGACACACCACGCAGCUCCAAGAAUGGCUCCAGUGUACCCAGAUAGCUCGGUAGAGCAGGAGACUCUUAAUCCCAGGGUUGUGGGUUCGAGUCCUGUGCUGGGCAUCCCUCCACAAAUGAGGAAAUUCUUUUGUGAUCAGUUAAAGGGAUCGGACCUCAGGUCUGACAUUCAUGCCACGGGUUCAGCUUUUGCAGCUAGGCUGCUGGCUCGCAUGGGCCAGGAAGGAUAUCCUAGCUCGGAGGUGCCAAGCUUUUUUACCACCAGAAAUGCUAUUGCUGACAGAGUAGCCAGCAUUGUUUUUACAGUUCAAGAGGCUUGCGAUUCUACUCCUUACGUGGGAGCUCGUGGGUUGGCAAGAAUGUGUUCCAUCCCUUUGUCUGCAGCCUGGGAUGUUGUUCAGGCAUGCCUUCAUUGUAAUUCUACACCUAAGAAAGGAGCGGGAGUUAACCCUUGCAGCCUUGGAGCUUUGCAGGUCUGGCAGACAGAUUUCACUUGGGAACUACAUUUCUCUCCCCGCGCUUGGCUUGCAGUUACGAUAGAUACUUCCUCCACUGUUAUCGUGGCCACACAGCAUGCAAAGUCCAACUCAACUGUGGAGUGUGCUAAUUGCCUCCUUAAGGAAAAACUACAUGUCCUUGGGGAGGGGGAAGGAUAUAGGGGGAAGAUACCUGUCGACAGGCAUGCCGAGAUACAAGCAAAGGCGCUCUGUGCAUUGAAUUAUUUCGAAUGCGGUGACUAUGGAUGAACCCACGCAGAAGCAUUGGCAGCCUGAGAUCUUAAGUGAGGGACUGGCCCUAUGUGGGUUCCAGUGUGAUGCAUUCAGCCUCAUUUCAAGGCAGAAAGUUUCUUGCUCAUUGGUAUUGUUUCAUAGUUUGUUACAUUAUAGAUACUAUAGUGAGUGAUGGAAGAAGGCUGCACUACUCUCAGGAUGGUAUUGUAAUAACAACUCUAGUAAUAGUAUGGCAAAGUAGGUGGUUUUCCUGUGCUAGUAAUGCAGCCUUAAGAAUUACAAUUAUUAGGCAUAAGCUAGGUUACUGUGUGCUGCUUCUAUUUUAGUAAUAGAUAGAAUGUGAAUUCACAGGAUUUGAUGUUACCAAUGCUAGAAUUUAUGGGAAUAGCUCCUUUCGUGUAAUUUUAUCACCUUCAUUGUCAGUAAUUCUUGGUUAAGGUGUUAUUAGCCUGUCAAUUGGCAUUUUCUUAAUUUGUGAAGGCAAAACCUGGAAAGGAAUCCCAGGCAAAGGGAUGAUCCUGUACUAUAGAAUGAUUAACUGUCUUUCAUCCCACUAGUCAGGAUUUUAGAAAUAUGACCACGCAUCACUCGAGACAAAGGUGCACGCUAUCUUUGAUUUCACAUGUGAUUCUGAUAUAGGAUUUUGGAGUAUUGUCCAGCAGAUUUUUAGUUCGCUGGUCCCUUCAAUUGGCACCUAUAUCAGGGGCCCAAAUGCCUCUCACUAUAGAAAGAUCUUGGGGUAGAAUGAAGUAUUCUGAUAGUUUUAAGGGGAGUGCAUGGUUUGUUUGUCUCUGUUCUUGAGACAUUCUGUCUCUCAGAUUCAAACAUACCUAGAAACAGCACCGCUCAGUUUUAGCCACACUCACCAAGUUAGGAUGUUAGUCAGUUAAGGAAAGUAAUGCUCCUAGUGAUGUUUUAGCUUGCUUGCCACUAGUAUCAAUUCUAUCUGACAUGCAACUCUAUGGAGUUGUGGAUUUUCAAUAUGUCAGAGUAUACGAAAGUUGAAGAUUUUCUUUAAUCAGUUACAGGUACACACAGAAUGGGACCCUUAGGGACUCUUUUCCAGGUUGCAGCCUUGGGCCAUGGGCCAAAUAAGUGUUUAUCUUUUUAAUGGGUUUGGCAAUAUUUUAUGUCAUUAUGCUAUGUUUGCCUUGUAUCUUUCUUUUGUUUAGCAUGUCAAUAGAAAGGUUGGCUUGCUGGACAGUUGAGCAAGCUAAUCUGACGAUGUUUGAUGUAAUGUUAGAAGAUUAGAAUAGAGCGUGACAUGUGUUUUUGUAGAAUGGAAUAGCUAUAGGCUUUUAGGUAUAAAGCUAUGGACAUUAGGGUUUGAGUCUUAUUUGCAGGAGUUGCUGGAGGAAAAGACCUAAGCCCAGCAAGCUCAAGCGGGAAGAAGACCUCGACAAGGAACUGCAGAUUUCUUCGAGAAUCAUUCUUCGAAGUGAUCACCUGCUUACGGCGCCUGUUUUCUCAUGCUUUCGACUCAGCCUUGGUGCUGCACACCCAGAACAGCAUUUUGUGUGGCACGGAAAAUGAGCAAGGCGGCUCGAUUACUCUGAGUGCCUUGUCAUCUACAUGGAGUCCAUUUGCUUGAAAUGACUCAAAAGUCAGGUGUUCAUGAAUAGGUGAUGAUUUCGUUAAGGGCUGACAUUGUUAUCUUGAAAAACACUAUUCUAGAAGCUUUAUCGUAGAAGGCUCUUUACACACAAUUCAUAGAUUUUUGGAUUGUGGGCUUAGUGCGUUUUCGCUGUGUAACUCUGUUUCGUCUUAGUUUAGAGGUCUGAGACCAUGGUUUGCAUAGAUACUUAGAGGAUUAGGUAUAAGGUUAUAAUGCUAUGCACGCUUUGCUUUGUAGGAUGCAUACAGUGAUGCUUACAGCGUGAUAACUGCUACGCUACGCUAUACUAUGGAAACUGUGCUUACAGCGUAAGCUGUGAUGGAGUUUUAGAUCAGCCUAGAACAUCAUAGGCUGUGUGAAAACUUUUAGUAAGUUUUAGGACAGCUAGUAAUAGGCAUUUAUAUUGCGCGUGUGUUAUAGAGUUUUAAUAAUAGAUAGCUUAGGUAAGAGAUAAGCUUAGGGAUAAGAUACUUGCGGUCGUGUUUGCGAUCGCGCUGUAACGGGUAAAAUUUUAUUGCUUAUGGGGAGGGGGAGAUGUUGUAGUAGGCGUGUUACGGAGCUCACGCUGUAACGUGGAAGGCCCCGCCCCCAUAUGCUUGCUAUUGGUUCACUUACAUACUUGAACCCAUGUCGUAACCACGAGGGGCUGUGCUUCUUUGUUUUCGUAACAAAGGGCACAACAACUCCAUGUAUGGCCUUUCGGAAGUGACAGGUCAGAAGCGGGAUAUUCAAUAUGAUUGGCCAGGAGCCGCAUGAGCUUCUGGAACAGUCUAGUAAAAAGAUAAGAAAUACUAUAUAGUUCUGUAGCUUUUAUCAAUAAACGCCAUUUUGCUGCUCAUCGUAUUGAUGUUACGUACAGUUGCUGGCCAGGGACCAGGUUUAGAUUCUCUGCGUGCAAGAAUAAUACUAAAAGGGUCA